UGAAGGCUGAAAUUCGCCUUCAUGAAGCUGGAAUUGCUAGUAAUGGCAGGUCANCGAUACUGCCGUGAAUACGUUCCCGGGCCUUGUACACACCGCCCGUCACACCAUGAGAGUUGGGAAUACCCGAAGCCUGUGAGCUAACUUAUAGAGGCAGCAGUCGAAGGUAGAAUCAAUGAUUGGGGUGAAGUCGUAACAAGGUAGC
rnacentral:rRNA from 1 species